GAGGGAGGAGUGGAGGUGGAGGGAGUAGUGAAGGAGGGAAUGGUGGUGGUGGUGGAGGAGAGUCAGCACAAUGAGAGCCGCCGUGAAGGUUUCAAGGCGAAGAGAACUCGGUAACAGUUCCCUCUGACGGGCCGUGCCUCGCUGGGGUUCCCAUCAGCCGAGAGAGGGAGGCUGGAAGUCAGUCGUCCACGAUUCCACGGCUUGCUUAGCAGCUCACUCCGAGGUGCCUCUACCACCACGGGACAAGCAGUCCCGUCUCUGCGUGUGUUUGAUUGCUAUACCCAAACAAGGGAGAACUUGUUAAACGUGAGAGCGGCUGUUUACAUUCUAACUCUACCGUGUUCGUUGAGCGAUCUUUGCGAAGCAUUUGCACAUCGAGAACGAGUUAUCGGCGGUGGUCGGACUGGGACGACGAUGUUCCGCUACCGUGCGCAUUGUGUUCACGUGAACGCAAUGCGCAGCUGCCAUGAUGACGAUGAUGGAGUGAAGACGUCACGCACACUACCAUGUAUAUAUGUAUGAUACAUAUCAAAUAUUAUUCUCAUUUUACGUUAAAAAAACACACAAAGGAAUAAUCCUUUGCUAGAGUUUGGACUUUCAGAAUCGCUGACCCGGGCCUCGCAUCGAGGUCGGCAAGGGUUGGUGGGACACGAGGGAGAUUUCUUACAGACAGACACCGCGCCGCUCGACACGCGGCCUCGUCGCCAAACACUUGGGGCAAGUACUGUUGGCGAGCUCCUAUUAAGGCCGCAACUGAAACGUGAGAGAGUGGUGUGCGUGGUGUGUAUGUGGCCAAAGCCACGCCGGAUCGCCUACGUCUCAACCCAACCAACGUCGUCCACGCAGCAACAGCCGCCACGUGCCAGGCGAGGUGCACUCCGAGGCCACGUGAAGCGUCGAUGACUCGCUGCUGGCAGGAGGUCGCGGGACAGACCCGGGUGCCGUGUAUUGACCGUGAUGACUGGUGGAUGCGCCACCAGUACACAUACACAAUCACGCACACAAAUACUGCAGCAGGUAAACAUGUUGGGCUGAGUCGACCUCGGGGAGGGCCACGCUCUUGGGGCAAAUAUUGUCAGCGAGCACCUAUUAAGGCCGGCACGGCGCGCGUGGUGUGACCAUCACCACAGCAGACCGUCUUUCUCUCCCCUGUGCUGGCUUUUAAACACCGCACCAGGUCCUCAUUUAAGGCUGAGUCUACCUCGAAGAGACCCAGGACCGGUACAGUUAUUACUCGCCACUGAAUGUAGCCAUGGCCUGGAACCGAACUCAGAUCGCCCAUUCAUUAACACCACACAAGUGGCGGGACGUCACUACAGCGCUCGUGCCAGGCUAUGUGCACGUUAAGGCCACGUGGAAUGUCGAGCGCCCGCUGGCAGGAGGUCACCGGACAGGCGCAGGUGCCAUUGUUUUGACUGACUGAGAUGACUGGUCGAUGCACCAUCUGGGCCCCCUACUGUGCCAACUUGCUGUGCCAACUUGCCGCGCGCGCACAAACACACGCACACACGUGCGCAUUAUUAGUUACUGGAGUUGUACAUUUGUACACGUGUAGUGCCAUUGUUAACGUGGCAUGCGCUGGGUGUGAGUGCAUUGCAUCUCAUACCCUGCCCGGUGGUGUAAGUCCAUGCUCAGUAAGAACCAUUUCGUCAGGUGUCAGGGUUGGAAUCGAACCCACGACGUCUUGCAUCGCAGGCAAGGUAGUUAACAUCUCGCCACCGUGACCACCACUUGUCGUGGGCCGCACUUGCAAUGAAGCACGCCGGUUUGUAGAGCAACAACUAUAAAGUUACAUUGAAUAGCUUGGAGUGACGAGACUUCAUAGGCAACCACGGCACGUAUUCUUGCUCGGCUGCAUCUCUAACAGAGCGGCUCCCCUAGCCGGGGUAAGCGCGUACCUCUGGGGGUGCUCGUGACAUAUUCCCGGCGGGGGGGGGGGGCGGGGGGGGGGUACGCGCGACAGUUCGCGUAGUGGCGAUGGUGACAUUGGGGCUGCGUUGUGCACGGCAAUACUCACGUCGCGUGCCUUGGCGUUGCGCAACAUCGGGCGACCCGACCUGACCCCGUGUCCCGACAUCAUUCUUCUCGCACUCGCUUAGCAUUCGUUGAUGAUACUUAUUAUUAUUUUUUUACAAAUAAACAGAACCGAGUCUGCGCGGUCGUCAGAACAUCUCGGCACAUGCAGUAUCGGCCUUCCCCCCGUGUCCCAUGACGAUGGUAGUGAGUCUAAACUUAAAUUAACUCGACAUCAGUAGUUUGUAAAGAGCAAUUGCGGUGUACAUAUUAAAUUGUAAAUAGUUAAGUGCAUUUGCUGUUAACUUAUUGAGUGUUCACUAAAUGUGCAGGGUGUUGAUAAUGUGUGAAUGUAAUACCGAUGUUAUAAUGGUGUGUACUCAUUGGUACGGUAAGAAGUGAUCGGGGUUAGGUCGGGGGUGUUGACAGCCAAAGGUUUAGGAACCACUUCUGGUACACAAGGUCGUGCACUGCUCGCUGCUUGCGGGAGUCCUGAAUGGAAUUGUGUCCGUCUCGUGACGUCGGCGGCACGUGUAAAAUUACAUUGGAAGAGAAACUGCAACAUUUUUAAACAAAGAUAAUAAAGGAAAUACCUAUUA